GCAGAGGUGGGGGCGGGCGCGGCGCUGGUGCCGCAGCUGCCGCCCGCCUUCGAGGCGCCCUUCAAGCAGGAGCCCAACAUGUGAGAGCCCAGCAUCCUUCACGAAUCAUAAAGACGUCUGAUAUUACACUGUUAGAGUUGAAUAAAGGACAGAGAUGGAUUUGAAUUUCAUAAACAUUAAAACUUUAUACAUUGGUAUAAAAUUGUUAUAAAUUUCGUUAAUAACAUUCAUACGAAAAGUA